AUCAAAACCCCGUACCGGCAACAUCACAAAAAAAAAUUAAAAAAAAAAAAAACAAAUUAUCUACUUUUUAAAAUUUUUGGUCAACAAGAUUAUAUAUUUUGUAUUUUUUUUUUCGUUCUUAGUCUUAAGCGUAAAGUUUAUAAUCUAGAUUAAGUUCCAAUAUAUUAAUCAUUAUUAAGCAUAAUUGACAAGCAUAAAAUCCAGGAGAAGGACAAGUGUAAAAGGAACCGCACAAACGCAGCACAGAAGCUUAAUACAAGACACACACACGCUAACAAUGGAUGCAAAUGGGAAACGCCCCACCUAGAUAUGUAAAUAUAUAAUAUAAGUAAUUAGGAGAAGCUGUAAAGGAACUACAACAACAAUAACCAGACACCAAUCAUACCAAAAACCACAAAUGCCGAACAAACAGGAGAUCCUUAAAACGAAUGAAAGGGGCCUUUGGGGACACAUAAUGUAUAAUGUCAAGAGCAUGCUUUUGAAAAUAACGAUAACGGAGGUACGAGGGUAGUCAUCAUGGAUAGAAGUCAGUUGAAGAUCAGGAAUUAGGGACGAAACCAAAAAAAAAAAUAGCAAAAAGGAAAAACCGAAGAAAAAAAUAGUAAAAACGGAACCUAGAAAAAAAAAAGCAAAAAAAGGAAAGCCAACACCUAAACACAGAAAGACGAGUAUCAAAAUUAUGAUGCGCGACAUGAAAAUCAAGCGAAAAGUCCCCCAACAAGGAUCCUUCGAAACGAUAACCAGGAUUGGAAAUCCAUGUGCAACCCCAACUGAAGCUGGUUUUGGUGGGAAGACAAGGCUCCAAGCGCGAUCCUAUCUGUGGGUUUUCAUUUUAUAUUUAUUAUUUGGCUUACAAAAAUACACUUAAAAAAA